rnacentral:rRNA from 1 species
UACGUAGGGUGCAAGCGUUAAUCGGAAUUACUGGGCGUAAAGCGUGCGCAGGCGGCUUUGCAAGACAGAUGUGAAAUCCCCGGGCUCAACCCUGGGAACUGCAUUUGUGACUGCAUGGCUGGAGUGCGGCAGAGGGGAUGGAAUUCCGCGUGUAGCAGUGAAAUGCGUAGAUAUGCGGAGGAACACCGAUGGCGAAGGCAACUCCCUCGGCCUGCACCUGACGCUCAUGCACGAAAGCGUGGG